GUGGGGAAUAUUGGACAAUGGGCGAAAGCCUGAUCCAGCCAUGCCGCGUGUGUGAAGAAGGUCUUCGGAUUGUAAAGCACUUUAAGUUGGGAGGAAGGGCAGUAAGUUAAUACCUUGCUGUUUUGACGUUACCGACAGAAUAAGCACCGGCUAACUACGUGCCAGCAGCCGCGGUAAUACGUAGGGUGCAAGCGUUAAUCGGAAUUACUGGGCGUAACGCGUGCGCAGGCGGUUUUGUAAGACAGGCGUGAAAUCCCCGGGCUCAACCUGGGAACUGCCUCCAAAACUGCAUGACUAGAGUACGGUAGAGGGUAGUGGAAUGUCCGGUGUAGCGGUGAAAUGCGUAGAUAUAGGAAGGAACACCAGUGGCGAAGGCGACUACCUGGACUGAUACUGACACUGAGGUGCGAAAGCGUGGGGAGCAAACAGGAUUAGAUACCCUUGUAGUCC
rnacentral:rRNA from 1 species